rnacentral:rRNA from 1 species
UGGGGAAUAUUGGACAAUGGGCGAAAGCCUGAUCCAGCCAUGCCGCGUGUGUGAAGAAGGUCUUCGGAUUGUAAAGCACUUUAAGUUGGGAGGAAGGGCAGUAAAUUAAUACUUUGCUGUUUUGACGUUACCGACAGAAUAAGCACCGGCUAACUCUGUGCCAGCAGCCGCGGUAAUACAGAGGGUGCAAGCGUUAAUCGGAAUUACUGGGCGUAAAGCGCGCGUAGGUGGUUCGUUAAGUUGGAUGUGAAAUCCCCGGGCUCAACCUGGGAACUGCAUUCAAAACUGACGAGCUAGAGUAUGGUAGAGGGUGGUGGAAUUUCCUGUGUAGCGGUGAAAUGCGUAGAUAUAGGAAGGAACACCAGUGGCGAAGGCGACCACCUGGACUGAUACUGACACUGAGGUGCGAAAGCGUGGGGGAGCAAAAC